GACGAACGCUGGCGGCGUGCUUAACACAUGCAAGUCGAACGGAAAGGCCCUGCUUUUGUGGGGUGCUCGAGUGGCGAACGGGUGAGUAACACGUGAGUAACCUGCCCUUUACUUUGGGAUAACUUCAGUAAACUGGGGCUAAUACCGGAUAGUAGCUCCUGCUGCAUGGUGGGGGUUGGAAAGUUUCGGCGGUUGGGGAUGGACUCGCGGCUUAUCAGCUUGUUGGUGGGGUAGUGGCUUACCAAGGCUUUGACGGGUAGCCGGCCUGAGAGGGUGACCGGCCACAUUGGGACUGAGAUACGGCCCAGACUCCUACGGGAGGCAGCAGUGGGGAAUAUUGCACAAUGGGCGGAAGCCUGAUGCAGCAACGCCGCGUGCGGGAUGACGGCCUUCGGGUUGUAAACCGCUUUCGCCUGUGACGAAGCGUGGGUGACGGUAAUGGGUAAAGAAGCACCGGCUAACUACGUG
rnacentral:rRNA from 1 species